rnacentral:rRNA from 1 species
GGCUGUCGUCAGCUCGUGUCGUGAGAUGUUGGGUUAAGUCCCGCAACGAGCGCAACCCACGUCUUUAGUUGCCAGCAUUUAGUUGGGCACUCUAGAGAGACCGCCGGUGAUAAACCGGAGGAAGGUGUGGAUGACGUCAAGUCAUCAUGCCCCUUACAUCCUGGGCUACACACGUACUACAAUGCUACGGACAAAGGGCAGCAAACUCGCGAGAGCUAGCAAAUCCCAUAAACCGUGGCUCAGUUCAGAUCGUAGGCUGCAACUCGCCUACGUGAAGGAGGAAUCGCUAGUAAUCGCAGGUCAGCAUACUGCGGUGAAUACGUUCCCGGGCCUUGUACACACCGCCCGUCACACCAUGGAAGUUGGCCACGCCCGAAGUCGUUACUCCAACCCUUGUGGAGGAGGAUGCCGAAGGUGGGGCUGAUGACUGGGGUGAAGUCGUAACAAGGUAGCCGUACCGGAAGGUGCGGCUGGAUCACCUCCUAA